rnacentral:lncRNA from 1 species
ACCGUAAUUCCAAAACGAAUGAUUAUUCAUGACACAAAUUAUAUUUAUUUAAAUUUUAUUUUUAAAAUCAGAAUUAUAAAUUCAUCGCUUUCAACAGAAUAAAAAAUAUGCUGUUAAUUAUUCCACACUUUCAGUAUUAAAGAACUCUCGAUUAAAAGACCGAAUAUAAAUACUGAUAAUAAAAGAAAUAAAACAGACAAAUAAAAAUUUUAUUAAUAUGAUUUACCGUAUAAUAUAGUAACGAUUGAAUAUCAAAUUUGAUCAGAUCGACCUAUCAUGAAGACGAUCGUGUUGAUCAAACCGAUAUAAAAGUCACAACUAUAUUAUUUAUCCGUAUACAACAACCUAUC